rnacentral:pre_miRNA from 1 species
UUAACUCAAAUUUGUAUGGAGUUGGAGCGUUUACUUACGGUUUCCGCUAGGGGCGCUGUUCCAACUGAAUACAAAGAGAUA